rnacentral:lncRNA from 1 species
UUCUGGAAAAACUAGGCUGGAAAGCAUCUGCAAAGAAGUUGAUAGGAGCUUUCUGGAAAUGAUAACAGGAAGAUCGUGCCAACCAUCAUUUUAGACAUUUGAAUAGAAUUAGAACAGGUACUGUGUUUUUUUGUUUUUUUUGUUUGUUUGUUUGGUUUUUGUCUUUUUGCUAUUUCUUGGGCCGCUCCCACGGCAUAUGGAGAUUCCCAGGCCAGGGGUCGAAUCGGAGCUGUAGCCACCGGCCUACGCCACAGCCACAGCAACGCGGGAUCCGAGCCGCAUCUGCAACCUACACCACAGCUCACCACAACGCCGGAUCGUUAACCCACUGAGCAACGCCAGGGAUCGAACCCGCAACCUCAUGGUUCCUAGUCGGAUUCGUUAACCUCUGCUCCACGACGGGAACUCCUAGAACAGGUACUGUGUUUUAAAGAGUGCCUUUGCCGUGUGGACACCCUGUUAAGUUUUGCCUGUGCCUAAGAUAUGCCAGAAGUGCACACAUCAGCUUUGGAUGUAAAAAUUGUCAUUUCCAUACAAUGUUGCUUUAUAAUCAGGUUCCAGGUGCUGCUUGGAGAUGCAGAGGAACCAGAGUAUUCUCCAGCCCAUCUGAAAAGGAAGAAACAUCAGGCAACAGCUAGGAGGUGGCCUUUGCAGAUUCCUGGGUGGGAUGGGGGUGGAGGUAGGGGUGGGGGUGGAGGGUCAGGGGUCAUCCUCCAUCCUCUGGGGGCCUCUAGGCUCCGCAUUCAGAGAAUUAAUUCUUUGUACGAGAGCCCUCCUGGUAACCUGCCUCUUACCCCGUGGCCGUCCUGGAGCCUGCAGCCUUGAUUCUGGUGCUUGGAAUCUAACUUAGAGACAGUUACUGACAUGUAAUGGAAAGCAUGAGAAAAGAAUGAUGUAUUGGGGCCACUUGGAUAGCUCUCCUAAAAAGCUGUGCCCGGGCACUCUUCCUGAAAUAUUACAUUUAUGUUCUCACAGAGCCCACAGGCCCAAAGGGUACAAAUAGCCAAACGCUGCUCUAGGAAACUCUCCAGGGUUUUUGCUGUACCUUUUAUUGAGUGCGAUUGCAUUAUCUAAUGAAUAAUCAAUGUUCAGCUGACACCUGAGAGUCCACACACUAAUUCCGAACUAAAAGGACGGAUUUGUUCUCCGUUUCUGAUCUUUACCAUGGAGCAUAUUCUCCUAACACUGAACCUGUCUGCCUUUGGCUCAGACCCUCAGCCCACUGAGUUUCAGUGGUCACAUCCAGAACCACAGAUGUUAGGGUUUAGGAGCGUUGAACAAUGUACAAAUUACUGGACUUUCCUGAGACUUUAACCCGCCAUUAACUUUAGCGCCUUUACUUUUCCUCAUUCAUUCAUUCAUUCAUUCACUCUCAACAAAGAUUUCUUUUCUUUUCUUUUUUGCUUUUUAGGGCCCCACCGGUGGCCCACGGAAGUUCCCAGGCUCGGGGUUGAGGCGGAGCUACAGCUGCCAGCCUACACCACAGCCACAGCUACGCCAGAUCCGAGCUGCCUCUGCGACCUACAUCACACCUCAUGGCAAUGCUGGAUCCUUAACCCACUGAGUCAGGCCAGGGAUCGAACCUGCAUCCUCAUGGAUGUUGUCAGAUUCGUUUCCGCUGCACCACAACGGGAACUCACUUGACCAAGAUUUCUUGGACAGCACCCCUUCCCCGCCUGAGGAAGGAUUUUGGUUGGUUCGGUCCCUGACUCUAGGAGUUUAUGGUAGUUGAGGAUCCAGGAUGUGGCAGUAACUCAUCUCGACUUUAGACUUUCUCUCCCUGGGUCUCAGAUGUUGGAACGAACCAUGUCUCUGAUUUCUCAGAGCCUGGAGCUUCAGGGUCAAGGCCUGGCUCUCCCGGGUAUUGUACUGCUUGCUGGUGGCAAAGCUGAGUGUGGAUUUUGCCCUAGAGAAGAGAAUGUCUUUCAACUUUUCACUUCGGAGAAGUCCGGCGGGGUGCGUUGGAGCCCCUGGAGGGAAAGAACCUUAUUUCCUUCAUCUUUGCUUUCUCAGUGUCUGGCACAAAGCCAAGCAUAGAGCACGGGGCUUUUGAAAUGAAUAGAAGGUGAAUGGCCCUAGUUGCUCAAAGUGUGUAUUUUACUCUGGGAUCCAUGGGGUCAUCAUCCCAGAUGAAGAGACCCUUUGUUGUUCCAGCACGUGGUUCUGCUUCUGAAAUGGAGACAGGAAAGGGGGAGGCAUCCGCUCCGCACAGGUGCCGCCAAACCGGAUGUGACCCGACGUGCCAUGCAGCAUAGCCUGUGUCCUCUGUUCUGCGGAAAGUUGCGGACACUCAGCUGCAGAGUUUCUGUUGUGGCUCAGGUGGUUAAGAACAUGACUGGUGGAGCUCUUUUCGUGGCUCAGCAGAAAUGAAUCUGACUAGUAUCCACAAGGAUGCAGGUUCCAUCCCUGGCCUCGCUCAGUGGGUUAAGGAUCCAGUGUUGCCGGGAGCUGUGGUGUCGGUUGCAGACACAGCUCGGAUCUGGCGUGGCUGUGGCUGGCAGCUAUAGCUCCGAUUUGACCCCUAGCCUGGGAACCUCCAUAUGCCUCAGGUGUGGCCCUAAAAAGACAGGAAAAAAAAAAAAAAGCACCCAACUACUAUCCAUGAAGAUGGGGAUUCCAUCCCUGGCCUCGAUCACUGGGUUCAGGAUCCAGUGUUGCUGCAGGCUGUGGUGUGGGUCACAGAAUCGGCUCAGAUCAUGGGUUGCUGUGGCUGUGGUGUAGGCCAGCAGCUGAAACUCUGAUUUGACCCCUUGCCUGGAAACUUCCACAUGUCCCAGGUGCGGCUCUAAAAAGC